CCUAGGAGAAGAUGUGCUGGCAAGGGUCCCUGGUCCAUCAGCAGGAGGCUGGAGCAACUGGGCUCUACUUGCAAGUUGUGUCCUGCAGCACUACAUGGUCUGGAGCCCACACUGUGCAGCUGUAGAUUGCAGGGGUGGCAGCUACAACACCCACAGUCUGUUCCACCCAGCCCAGCCGUGACAGAAGGGGAUGUUUCCAGAUGCAGAAGACAAGUGUGAGGUUGGUAGCUAAUGGUCCUGCUGUGGGAAGCAGCUGAAC
rnacentral:lncRNA from 12 species